GAUGAACGCUGGCGGCGUGCCUAAUACAUGCAAGUCGAGCGAACAGACGAGGAGCUUGCUCCUCUGACGUUAGCGGCGGACGGGUGAGUAACACGUGGAUAACCUACCUAUAAGACUGGGAUAACUUCGGGAAACCGGAGCUAAUACCGGAUAACAUGUUGAACCGCAUGGUUCAACAGUGAAUGACGGUCUUGCUGUCACUUAUAGAUGGAUCCGCGCCGCAUUAGCUAGUUGGUAAGGUAACGGCUUACCAAGGCAACGAUGCGUAGCCGACCUGAGAGGGUGAUCGGCCACACUGGAACUGAGACACGGUCCAGACUCCUACGGGAGGCAGCAGUAGGGAAUCUUCCGCAAUGGGCGAAAGCCUGACGGAGCAACGCCGCGUGAGUGAAGAAGGUCUUCGGAUCGUAAAACUCUGUUAUUAGGGAAGAACAAAUGUGUAAGUAACUAUGCACGUCUUGACGGUACCUAAUCAGAAAGCCACGGCUAACUACGUGCCAGCAGCCGCCGUAA
rnacentral:rRNA from 1 species